rnacentral:lncRNA from 1 species
UGGUAUUCUGUGGUGGUAUUUCUUUGUUCUGCGAUUUGUUUUUCUCUCAGAUAGUUAACUGCUGAAUGCUGAAUCCUGCUUUAUUGAAUUGAAGUCCCUUGCUUCCUUGCCUACUCCUGUUGGCAUUUAUGCGUCUGUCCAUAGUUCCUUUCCCUUCUUUUUUUUUUUUUUCCUUUUUUGUUAUACCGUUCACAAAAAGUGUUCUCUUUUUUAUGAUCUAAAGUAUUUUUCCUCUGUUUUACUGCUUUAGGAUCCUCUGAACUCAACGGCAAUCUUGUGUGAUGAAAAAUUGCAUAAGCUUCUGGGCUGUGAAAGCAUCUCAGCAUUGGAGGUACCAGAGAUGUUGGCACAACGCCACUUAUUAAAGAAAUCGUGAUAGAGAGAUCUGACUGGUAUGUAUACCAAAUCUUACUUUUGUUACUCACGAAAAUUAUGCUUUUGAGUUGAACAGUUAAAUCAUAAAAGAUAUCAUAAUUGUGGAGGAAUAUCUGCACUAACUUUAUGCCAUCUGUUUAAUAUGCUUUUGCUAAUCAAAUGUCUCUUUUAACAUGCUCUUAACAUCCCAUGUUUUCACGUUCUGCACAAAUUAUCUGUUUGGGGCGUUGGCUUGGUGGAUGAGAUAGAUAAGAUUGAUAUGAUUGGAGGAUGAUUAAAUAAUCAACCCUACUUUGGGGUGAUAAAUAAUCAUCCAAUUGGGUGAUUAGAGUGUGGGCUAAGUUAUCCAUCACGGGCCAAAUCAUACAAACCAAACAUUUGAUGAAGUUGGAUUAUUUUAUCAAUCAUGCCUUGUCACUCUAAUGAAACGCCUCUUGUAUGUCUUUCCCUUCCCCCUUGUGAAAUCUCAUUUGUUCCUUCACUCUUAGUUUAUACUUUGUCUUUGAGCUUUUUAGUACUGUCAUAGUUUUACUUUUUGUUUCCCGGUUUUUGGCUAGUCAUCACCUCCUUCUGCCACUUCUACUUUCAUCACCAGAUAUUUUGUGGUAUUCUCAUCCAAAUUUACGUAGUUGCACAACUAAGAUUUUCAAAUAUGAUUGUUACAAGCGGUUGCAGCUGAUUUCUGAUAAUCCCGUUUCUUUGCUUCUUUGUAUAUGAUGCAGAUUGACGAUGUUAAUGCUAACAUAGUGUAUUCUGACAUUACUCCUCUGAAUGCCCUUCUUCUUGUAAAGAAGGUUCUAUGGCUUGUUCUUUCAAUUGGGUUAGGCUUAUGAUUGUGGCGCAAGAAAGUCAUUGGUUGGUAAAUUAUGAAUACAAUUCCAACUCAUCUCGUCACCAGAUAUGGUGGUGGAGUUCGAUUUCUUGCUCGUUGCAACAUUUAUUUUAUCAAAUGGUACUUGCAACAUAGUUUGUGAUAUGGUAGGUCAAGUAGUGAACCUCCCAAGUGUAAAGAUAGAUGUCUAGGUUUUAAUUUUUAUCGCCCCCCUUCCCAACUCCAAACAAACUAUUCGCUUUGUGUAUCAAUUUGUGGUAAUACAUAUGCUUGCAAAAGUCUUUGAUCUUUGCGCCCAAUUUGAGAUUAUUCUCUUAAAUCCACGGGCUUAUUUUUAUUUAUCGUACACAUAGGGUUUGUUUUUUCAGAGGUGAUUAGAGUAUAAAAAAAUACAAUCAUAGAAAAAUAUUAUUAGUACGAGUAAAAAAAAUAAUUAUAUCG